rnacentral:tRNA from 1 species
GCAGUGGUAGUUCAGUGGUAGAAUUCUCACCUUCCAUGUGGGAGAUUUAGGUUCGAUUCCUAACCAGUGCA